rnacentral:rRNA from 1 species
GAUGAACGCUGGCGGCGUGCCUAAUACAUGCAAGUCGAGCGAACAGACGAGGAGCUUGCUCCUCUGACGUUAGCGGCGGACGGGUGAGUAACACGUGGAUAACCUACCUAUAAGACUGGGAUAACUUCGGGAAACCGGAGCUAAUAACGGAUAAUAUAUUGAACCGCAUGGUUCAAUAGUGAAAGACGGUUUUGCUGUCACUUAUAGAUGGAUCCGCGCCGCAUUAGCUAGUUGGUAAGGUAACGGCUUACCAAGGCAACGAUGCGUAGCCGACCUGAGAGGAUGAUCGGCCACACUGGAACUGAGACACGGUCCAGACUCCUACGGGAGGCAGCAGUAGGGAAUCUUCCGCAAUGGGCGAAAGCCUGACGGAGCAACGCCGCGUGAGUGAUGAAGGUCUUCGGAUCGUAAAACUCUGUUAUUAGGGAAGAACAAAUGUGUAAGUAACUAUGCACGUCUUGACGGUACCUAAUCAGAAAGCCACGGCUAACUACGUG